rnacentral:rRNA from 1 species
AGAGUUUGAUCAUGGCUCAGAGUGAUCGCUGGCGGCGUGCUUAACACAUGCAAGUCGAGCGAAUUUCUGCAGUGUAUCGCAGGAGUUAGCGGCAGACGGGUGAGUAAUACUUGGGCAAUCUGCCCUCGAGAGGGAAACAACCGGCCGAAAGGCUGGCUAAUGUCCCAUAAGACCACAGGAAUGCAUAUUCCAGGGGUCAAAGGUCCGCAAGGGCCGCUUGAGGAGGAGCCCGAGUCCUAUCAUGGUAGUUGGUGAGGUAACGGCUCACCAAGCCUUUGACGGGUAGCCGGCCUGAAAGGGUGAUCGGCCACACUGGCACUGAGACACGGGCCAGACUCCUACGGGAGGCAGCAGUGGGGAAUUUUGGACAAUGGGGGAAACCCUGAUCCAGCGACGCCGCGUGAAGGAUGAAGGUCUUCGGAUUGUAAACUUCUUUUGGAGGGGAUGAAUGCCUGCAUGAAUAAUGCAGGGUGACAGUACUCUCGGAAUAAGCCACGGCUAACUACGUGCCAGCAGCCGCGGUAAUACGUAGGUGGCAAGCGAUACUCGGAAUCACUAGGCGUAAAGCGCAGGUAGGCGGUUCAGUAAGUCUUUUGUGAAAGCUCCCGGCUCAACUGGGAGAGGCCAAGGGAAACUACUGGACUAGAGUGUGGUAGGGGAUACUGGAAUUCCUGGUGUAGCGGUGAAAUGCGUAGAUAUCAGGAGGAAUACCUAUGGCGAAAGCAGGUAUCUGGGCCAUCACUGACGCUGAGCUGCGAAAGCUAGGGGAGCAAACAGGAUUAGAUACCCCAGUAGUCC